UACAGAGGGUGCGAGCGUUGUCCGGAAUCACUGGGCGUAAAGGGCGCGUAGGUGGCGACCCAAGUCGAUGGUGAAAGCUCGCCGCUCAACGGCGAGUCGGCCACUGAUACUGGGUUGCUCGAGCACUGUAGAGGCUAAUGGAAUUCCGGGUGUAGCGGUGGAAUGCGUAGAGAUCCGGAAGAACACCGGUGGCGAAGGCGGUUAGCUGGGCAGUUGCUGACACUGAGGCGCGACAGCGUGGGGAGCAAACAGG
rnacentral:rRNA from 1 species